UCUGUCCCUCAGGUUCUCUCUCUUCCUUCUACCCCUCUCUCUUUUCUUCCUUUCAGGGCUAGUGACCCGUCUGUCCUCUGUCCCUCAGGUUCUCUCUCUUCCUUCUACCCCUCUCUCUUUUCUUCCUUUCAGGGCUAGUGACCCGUCUGUCCUCUGUCCCUCAGGUUCUCUCUCUUCCUUCUACCCCUCUCUCUUUUCUUCCUUUCAGGGCUAGUGACCCGUCUGUCCUCUGUCCCUCAGGUUCUCUCUCUCUUCCUUCUACCCCUCUCUCUUUUCUUCCUUUCAGGGCUAGUGACCCGUCUGUCCCUCAGGUUCUCUCUCUCUCCUUCUACCCCUCUCUCUUUUCUUCCUUUCAGGGCUAGUGACCCGUCUGUCCUCUGUCCCUCAGGUUCUCUCUCUCUCUCCUUCUACCCCUCUCUCUUUUCUUCCUUUCAGGGCUAGUGACCCGUCUGUCCUCUGUCCCUCAGGUUCUCUCUCUUCCUUCUACCCCUCUCUCUUUUCUUCCUUUCAGGGCUAGUGACCCGUCUGUCCCUCAGGUUCUCUCUUCCUUCUACCCCUCUCUCUUUUCUUCCUUUCAGGGCUAGUGACCCGUCUGUCCCUCAGGUUCUCUCUCCUUCUACCCUUCUCUCUUUUCUUCCUUUCAGGGCUAGUGACCCGUCUGUCCUCUGUCCCUCAGGUUCUCUCUCCUUCUACCCUUCUCUCUUUUCUUCCUUUCAGGGCUCGUGACCCGUCUGUCCCUCAGGUUCUCUCUCUUCCUUCUACCCCUCUCUCUUUUCUUCCUUUCAGGGCUAGUGACCCGUCUGUCCUCUGUCCCUCAGGUUCUCUCUCUCUUCCUUCUACCCCUCUCUCUUUUCUUCCUUUCAGGGCUAGUGACCCGUCUGUCCUCUGUCCCUCAGGUUCUCUCUUCCUUCUACCCUUCUCUCUUUUCUUCCUUUCAGGGCUAGUGACCCGUCUGUCCCUCAGGUUCUCUCUCUUCCUUCUACCCCUCUCUCUUUUCUUCCUUUCAGGGCUAGUGACCCGUCUGUCCUCUGUCCCUCAGGUUCUCUCUCUUCCUUCUACCCCUCUCUCUUUUCUUCCUUUCAGGGCUAGUGACCCGUCUGUCCUCUGUCCCUCAGGUUCUCUCUCUCUUCCUUCUACCCCUCUCUCUUUUCUUCCUUUCAGGGCUAGUGACCCGUCUGUCC